GCCAGUGUGGCUUAGUGGUUUGAGCAUUUGACUUCAACUGGAGACCAGGGUUCAAAUCCCCACUCAGCCA